rnacentral:rRNA from 1 species
AAAUUGAAGAGUUUGAUCAUGGCUCAGAUUGAACGCUGGCGGCAGGCCUAACACAUGCAAGUCGAACGGUAACAGAAAGCAGCUUGCUGCUUUGCUGACGAGUGGCGGACGGGUGAGUAAUGUCUGGGAAACUGCCUGAUGGAGGGGGAUAACUACUGGAAACGGUAGCUAAUACCGCAUAAUGUCGCAAGACCAAAGAGGGGGACCUUCGGGCCUCUUGCCAUCGGAUGUGCCCAGAUGGGAUUAGCUUGUUGGUGGGGUAACGGCUCACC